GUGGGUGUCCCUCCUCCUCUGUUCCUGCUCACAAGGACCCUGCCUGAUCUGCUGAGCCUCCGUUCCAGCCCUGACCCUGCCAUGGGCAUCAGGCUCCUCUGCUGGGUGGCCCUCGGAUUCCUGGGGACAGAGCACACAGAAGCUGGAGUCACCCAGUCUCCCAGAUAUGAGAUGACAGAAAAAAGACAGACAGCGUCUUUGUGGUGUGAUCCUAUUUCUGGUCACAAUACCCUUUACUGGUACCAACAGACCCUGGGACAAGGCCUGAAACUUCUGAUUCACUUUGAGAAUGAAGCUGUAGUAGAUGAUUCACAGUUGCCCAAGGAUCGAUUUUUUGCAGGGAGGCCCAAAGGAGUAAACUCCACUCUCAAGAUCCAGUUUGCAGAGCCGGGGGACUCGGCUGUGUAUUUCUGUGCCAGCAGCUUAGCCACAGCAUUGCAGAGACAUUUCCUUCCCAUGCAUGAAAGCUGAUGACUCUUUUCUCUCUACUCAGCUCACAGCAAUCCUAAACAGAGUCAUUACCUUGUCCUUCAUUACCCAAGGGAAAGGAGCAGGUUUGCAGAUAUUAAGCUACUAUUUGUA